CUACGGGCCGCACCAGUGAGGAAUAUUGCACAAUGGGGGGAACCCUGAUGCAGCAACGCCGCGUGGAGGAUGACGCAUUUCGGUGUGUAAACUCCUUUUAUAUGUCAAGAAGAUGACGGUAGCAUAUGAAUAGGCACCGGCUAACUCCGUGCCAGCAGCCGCGGUAAUACGGAGGGUGCAAGCGUUACUCGGAAUCACUGGGCGUAAAGGACGCGUAGGCGGGUUGGAAAGUCAGGUGUGAAAUCCUACAGCUUAACUGUAGAACUGCACUUGAAACUUCUAAUCUAGAGUAUGGGAGGGGGAGAUGGAAUUAGUGGUGUAGGGGUAAAAUCCGUAGAUAUCACUAGGAAUACCUAAAGCGAAGGCGAUCUCCUGGAACAUUACUGACGCUAAGGCGUGAAAGCGUGGGGAGCAAACAGGAUUAGAUACCCCCGUAGUC
rnacentral:rRNA from 1 species